rnacentral:piRNA from 1 species
GGUAAAUAACGAUUGGUAGUGUAAGCCGAG